UACGUAGGGGUGCGAGCGUUUGUCCGGAAUUACUGGGCGUAAAGAGCUCGUAGGUGGUUUGUCGCGUUGUUCGUGAAAAACUCACAGCUUAACUGUGGGCGUGCGGGCGAUACGGGGCAGACUGGAGUACUGCAGGGGGAGACUGGAAUUCCUGGUGUAGCGGUGGAAUGCGCAGAUAUCAGGAGGAACACCGGUGGCGAAGGCGGGUCUCUGG
rnacentral:rRNA from 1 species